CCCCAAAAGCUCCUUCCCCUAGUAACAAUCCACCCUAUGUUCCUACACCUCCAAAAACACCUUCUCCUUCUUAUAAUCCUCCUAAUGUUCCCACUCCUCCCAAAACACCUUCACCUAUUUACACUCCACCAAAUGUUCCUACUCCUCCAAAAACACCAUCUCCUGCUUAUAGUCCUCCAAAUGCUCCUUCCCCUCAUAACCAACCAAAUGUUCCUACUCCUCCAAAAACACCAUCUCCUGCUUAUAGUCCUCCAAAUGCUCCUUCCCCUCAUAACCAACCUCCCUAUGUUCCUACACCUCCAAAAACACCUUCUCCUUCUUAUAAUCCUCCUAAUGUUCCCACUCCUCCCAAAACACCUUCACCUAUUUACACUCCACCAAAUGUUCCUACUCCUCCAAAAACACCAUCUCCUGCUUAUAGUCCUCCAAAUGCUCCUUCCCCUCAUAACCAACCUCCCUAUGUUCCUACACCUCCAAAAACACCUUCUCCUUCUUAUAAUCCUCCUAAUGUUNNN
rnacentral:lncRNA from 1 species